rnacentral:rRNA from 1 species
GAGAGGCGAUGGUACAGCAGCAGCUAGGGUGGCGGUCGGAAGAGGAGACGAGCGGAGGAGGAUAGGAGAAGGUAGAGUGGCAGCUAGGUCUAACCUGUAUCCAGUAGAAACGCCACGUCCACCCCUACAUCCCCUCCACAUCCUACGCCUGCUGUUCCCUUCCUCCUCCGGCCCCUCCUUCCGUUCGUUGUCGCCCCUUCCUCUUCCACUCGCUAGGAUCGUACCCCUUCCUCGAGCUCCACUUGUCCACCACACCCUUCCGCUCUCCUUGGUCCUCGAGUAGGGAGGAGGGUACUGACGGAGCACCUAGACCUCAUAUUCCUCCUGUUGUACACGGACAACGGCCGCCGAGCUCGCUACGUUCGGCCGCCACUUGAUCUUUUGUUUCGGAGGAGCCUGUAAUUCUUCCAUGUUGAUCCAUUGUCACCUUCACGAGGCAAGUUUUUGUUCUUGAACCGUCUUCGAGAUGUAUACGUUUACCUCCAAGUCUGUGUCGAGGUACUUGUCGAUAUCCUAAGGAUGAUCUUGUACAGUAAGGUUUAACGCUGUUACUAGAAAGAUGAGUACUCGUCAGGAAAAAAUAUGUCAUAAAACUACGUAUGACAUACGUCUGUUCUUCCGGAGGAGUCUGUAAUUCUUCCUUGAACCGUCUUCGAGAUGUAUACGUUUACGUCCAAGUCUGUGUCGAGGUACUUGUCUCUUCUUCCGGAGGAACCUGUUAUUCUUCCAUGCAGAUCCAUCGUCACCUUCACGAGGCAAGUUUUUGUUCUUGAACCGUCUUCGAGAUGUAUACGUUUACCUCCAAGUCUGUGUCGAGGUAUUUAUCCUAAGGAUGAUCUUGUACAGUAAGGUUUAACGCUGUUACUAGAAAGAUGAGUACUCGUCAGGAAAAAAUAUGACUUAUGCGUAGUUUCUUCCGGAGGAGUCUAUAAUUCUUCCUUGAACCGUCUUCGAGAUGUAUACGUUUACCUCCAAGUCUGUGUCGAGGUACUUGUCCAGUUAUCGGUACUUAUCCUCGUUCCGUAGUGUGAGGUCGAGACUCUUCUUUUUCUAUACUUCUGUCUCUAUCUAGUCACAAGACGAGGCUUCGUUUUUGUAAAGCGUACAUUAUUACUUGACAUCAAAUGGUGUCAGAGAUUUUGUCCGGAUGGAUAAUGGUCAGGCAACGAACGGAAAAAAUCCUACAUACUGAGUCAGCAUAUAUAAAUGUAAGCGCAACAAAUCAACACCAAACAUACGAACUUUUAUGCAAAAUUGACUCGAUCUUUUAAGAAUACACGUCACUUUAACAUAGAUUGUGAAACAUUUCUUGUUUACUUUGUGCAAAGUUUAUU